GUGCUCACUGCGGCAGCUCAGCUACUAAAACUGGGAUGAUACAGAGAUUAGCAUAGCUCCUGUACAAGGAUGACACGCAAAUUCGUGAAGUGUUUCAUUAAGAC